rnacentral:misc_RNA from 1 species
GACAAUAGUUAUAAUUUAAUUAAUCAUAGAAAAACUAAGAGUCAGUUAUGACUUAUAAACUAUAUAAACUAAUAUCAAAUAUCAAAAAUCAAACUAGCCACUCCCUAAUGCAAAUAGAAGAUAAAUUGUCCAACCAAGAUUUUCUCUCAAACUUACCAAAUGAUAUUUUAGUAACUAAGGCAUUGUAAGAAGAUGAAUAACAAUUUGCAAAAAUAUCAUUAAGGUAAUCUUCAUAUUAUAAGAAUUUAUUUAUACCAAUUUGUUGGCAUCUUAUUUUUUAUUAUUUAUAUUCAUUUUUCAAUUUAUAUUUAUUCUUUGUAUUUAUU